rnacentral:rRNA from 1 species
AUCCAUUUACUCGAGAGUUUGAUCCUGGCUCAGGAUGAACGCUGGCGGCGUGCUUAACACAUGCAAGUCGAACGGUGAAGCCAAGCUUGCUUGGUGGAUCAGUGGCGAACGGGUGAGUAACACGUGAGCAACCUGCCCUGAACUCUGGGAUAAGCGCUGGAAACGGCGUCUAAUACUGGAUAUGAGCUGCGGAGGCAUCUUCGUGGUUGGAAAGAUUUUUCGGUUUGGGAUGGGCUCGCGGCCUAUCAGCUUGUUGGUGAGGUAAUGGCUCACCAAGGCGUCGACGGGUAGCCGGCCUGAGAGGGUGACCGGCCACACUGGGACUGAGACACGGCCCAGACUCCUACGGGAGGCAGCAGUGGGGAAUAUUGCACAAUGGGCGGAAGCCUGAUGCAGCAACGCCGCGUGAGGGAUGACGGCCUUCGGGUUGUAAACCUCUUUUAGCAGGGAAGAAGCGAAAGUGACGGUACCUGCAGAAAAAGCGCCGGCUAACUACGUGCCAGCAGCCGCGGUAAUACGUAGGGCGCAAGCGUUAUCCGGAAUUAUUGGGCGUAAAGAGCUCGUAGGCGGUUUGUCGCGUCUGCUGUGAAAUCUGGGGGCUCAACCCCCAGCCUGCAGUGGGUACGGGCAGACUAGAGUGCGGUAGGGGAGAUUGGAAUUCCUGGUGUAGCGGUGGAAUGCGCAGAUAUCAGGAGGAACACCGAUGGCGAAGGCAGAUCUCUGGGCCGUAACUGACGCUGAGGAGCGAAAGGGUGGGGAGCAAACAGGCUUAGAUACCCUGGUAGUCCACCCCGUAAACGUUGGGAACUAGUUGUGGGGUCCAUUCCACGGAUUCCGUGACGCAGCUAACGCAUUAAGUUCCCCGCCUGGGGAGUACGGCCGCAAGGCUAAAACUCAAAGGAAUUGACGGGGACCCGCACAAGCGGCGGAGCAUGCGGAUUAAUUCGAUGCAACGCGAAGAACCUUACCAAGGCUUGACAUACACGAGAACGCUGCAGAAAUGUAGAACUCUUUGGACACUCGUGAACAGGUGGUGCAUGGUUGUCGUCAGCUCGUGUCGUGAGAUGUUGGGUUAAGUCCCGCAACGAGCGCAACCCUCGUUCUAUGUUGCCAGCACGUAAUGGUGGGAACUCAUGGGAUACUGCCGGGGUCAACUCGGAGGAAGGUGGGGAUGACGUCAAAUCAUCAUGCCCCUUAUGUCUUGGGCUUCACGCAUGCUACAAUGGCCGGUACAAAGGGCUGCAAUACCGCGAGGUGGAGCGAAUCCCAAAAAGCCGGUCCCAGUUCGGAUUGAGGUCUGCAACUCGACCUCAUGAAGUCGGAGUCGCUAGUAAUCGCAGAUCAGCAACGCUGCGGUGAAUACGUUCCCGGGUCUUGUACACACCGCCCGUCAAGUCAUGAAAGUCGGUAACACCUGAAGCCGGUGGCCCAACCCUUGUGGAGGGAGCCGUCGAAGGUGGGAUCGGUAAUUAGGACUAAGUCGUAACAAGGUAGCCGUACCGGAACCUGCGGCUGGAUCACCUCC